AGAGUUUGAUCAUGGCUCAGGAUGAACGCUGGCGGCGUGCCUAACACAUGCAAGUCGAACGAAGCCUUUGGGCUUAGUGGCGGACGGGUGAGUAACACGUUAGUACCUACCCUUUAGUGGGGAAUAACUCGGCGAAAGUCGGGCUAAUACCGCAUACGAUCCUUCGGGAUGAAAGCAUUUAUGCGCUAAAGGAGGGGCUUGCGUCUGAUUAGCUAGUUGGUAGUGUAAUGGACUACCAAGGCGAUGAUCAGUAGCUGGUUCGAGAGGAUGACCAGCCACACUGGGACUGAGAUACGGCCCAGACUCCUACGGGAGGCAGCAGUGAGGAAUCUUCCGCAAUGGACGAAAGUCUGACGGAGCAACGCCGCGUGCAGGAUGACGGCCUUCGGGUUGUAAACUGCUUUUAUUUGGGAAGAUUAUGACGGUACCAAAUGAAUAAGGACCGGCUAACUACGUGCCAGCAGCCGCGGUAAUACGUAGGGUCCAAGCGUUAUCCGGAAUCACUGGGCGUAAAGCGUGCGUAGGUGGGUGUUUAAGUGCGAUAUUAAACCGUGUGGCUCAACCAUAUCGUUGUGUCGCAUACUGAACAUCUAGAGGACAUGAGAGGCAAGUGGAAUUAGUAGUGUAGCAGUGAAAUGCGUAGAUAUUACUAGGAACACCAAUGGCGAAGGCAGCUUGCUGGCAUGUAUCUGACGCUAAGGCACGAAAGCGUGGGGAGCGAACAGGAUUAGAUACCCUAGUAGUCC
rnacentral:rRNA from 1 species